rnacentral:snoRNA from 1 species
AAGACCUUACUUCAUAGGAUCAUUUCUAUAGUAAGUUCUUCACGAGAUACGCAUUCUGAACAACUUGAUCUGAAAAGCUUUAAAAUAUGUACAUAUUUUUUUCACA